AUGCCGACCUCCAGGUUCACCUGCUCCGACAGCGCCAGGAUGGGGCGCCGCGUGGACUCGCCGGUGCGGGUGUUGAGGCGGAUCUCCGUGAGCACGCUCUCCAGGCACUCGUCCGACUCGUUGAAGAUGGAGUCGGCGGGGGUCAUGCAGGAGCCGAUCACCACCACCUCGUCGCUCUCCUCCUCCUCCCACGCGUUCCAGAGGUGGAAGCAGAAGCAGUCCGGCACGUCCACCCACACCAUCUCCGACGCGUCCGCCGCGCACUUUGGCAGCACACCGAAGCGGGACGUCUUCUCCUUGUCGAGCACCACGGGCGAGCCGCCGCGCAGCAUCUCUUGCAGCUUGAACACCACCUGA
rnacentral:rRNA from 1 species